GAUUGAACGCUGGCGGCAGGCCUAACACAUGCAAGUCGAACGGUAACAGGAAGCAGCUUGCUGCUUCGCUGACGAGUGGCGGACGGGUGAGUAAUGUCUGGGAAACUGCCUGAUGGAGGGGGAUAACUACUGGAAACGGUAGCUAAUACCGCAUAAUGUCGCAAGACCAAAGAGGGGGACCUUCGGGCCUCUUGCCAUCGGAUGUGCCCAGAUGGGAUUAGCUAGUAGGUGGGGUAACGGCUCACCUAGGCGACGAUCCCUAGCUGGUCUGAGAGGAUGACCAGCCACACUGGAACUGAGACACGGUCCAGACUCCUACGGGAGGCAGCAGUGGGGAAUAUUGCACAAUGGGCGCAAGCCUGAUGCAGCCAUGCCGCGUGUAUGAAGAAGGCCUUCGGGUUGUAAAGUACUUUCAGCGGGGAGGAAGGCGAUAAGGUUAAUAACCUUGUCGAUUGACGUUACCCGCAGAAGAAGCACCGGCUAACUCCGUGCCAGCAGCCGCGGUAAUACGGAGGGUGCAAGCGUUAAUCGGAAUUACUGGGCGUAAAGCGCACGCAGGCGGUCUGUCAAGUCGGAUGUGAAAUCCCCGGGCUCAACCUGGGAACUGCAUUCGAAACUGGCAGGCUAGAGUCUUGUAGAGGGGGGUAGAAUUCCAGGUGUAGCGGUGAAAUGCGUAGAGAUCUGGAGGAAUACCGGUGGCGAAGGCGGCCCCCUGGACAAAGACUGACGCUCAGGUGCGAAAGCGUGGGGAGCAAACAGGAUUAGAUACCCCUGGUAGUCCACGCCGUAAACGAUGUCGACUUGGAGGUUGUGCCCUUGAGGCGUGGCUUCCGGAGCUAACGCGUUAAGUCGACCGCCUGGGGAGUACGGCCGCAAGGUUAAAACUCAAAUGAAUUGACGGGGGCCCGCACAAGCGGUGGAGCAUGUGGUUUAAUUCGAUGCAACGCGAAGAACCUUACCUACUCUUGACAUCCAGAGAACUUAGCAGAGAUGCUUUGGUGCCUUCGGGAACUCUGAGACAGGUGCUGCAUGGCUGUCGUCAGCUCGUGUUGUGAAAUGUUGGGUUAAGUCCCGCAACGAGCGCAACCCUUAUCCUUUGUUGCCAGCGGUCCGGCCGGGAACUCAAAGGAGACUGCCAGUGAUAAACUGGAGGAAGGUGGGGAUGACGUCAAGUCAUCAUGGCCCUUACGAGUAGGGCUACACACGUGCUACAAUGGCGCAUACAAAGAGAAGCGACCUCGCGAGAGCAAGCGGACCUCAUAAAGUGCGUCGUAGUCCGGAUUGGAGUCUGCAACUCGACUCCAUGAAGUCGGAAUCGCUAGUAAUCGUGGAUCAGAAUGCCACGGUGAAUACGUUCCCGGGCCUUGUACACACCGCC
rnacentral:rRNA from 1 species